AGCUUCAGUAGCGUAUAUUAAAGUUGUUGCAGUUAAAAAGCUCGUAGUCGCAUUUCUGGCGAGAGGAUCCGGUCCGACCUUUUGGUGGGUUCUUGGGUCUCUUUCGCCAUCCUUGAGUGGUCCGUUCUGGCAUUAGGUUGUCGGAGCGUCAGCCGCUCAUCGUUUACUGUGAGAAAAUUAGAGUGUUCAAAGCAGGCUUAUGCCGUUGAAUAUAUUAGCAUGGAAUAAUAAGAUAGGACCUCGGUACUAUUUUGUUGGUUUGCGCACCAAGGUAAUGAUGAACAGGGACAGUUGGGGGUAUUUGUAUGGCGUUGUCAGAGGUGAAAUUCUUAGAUUUACGAAAGACAAACUACUGCGAAAGCAUUUACCAAGGAUGUUUUCA
rnacentral:rRNA from 1 species